rnacentral:misc_RNA from 1 species
GAAAAAGGACCUUUAGCAUAUAUGAGGGCGCUAUUCUUUAGAGGGGGAGUAGGUUCCCAAUGCCUCUCAUGAGUGAUGUGGGACAGAAGUCAUAAACUAGAUCCCUCACAACCUCUUCACUUUUGCAGUGCUAAGGUUUUGCAUGUAUUUCCUUUGUAGAUUUAUUCUCCUUGUUUCAAUAAAAAAAACCAUUUAACUUCAUGAAAGUGUUUAUCAUUUAAUAUUCCAUUAUAAUUCUUUAUUUUAACAAUGGAAGAGGAAGUUAUCAAAGUGGCGUUAGCCUGAUGGCCAAGAUGUCCCAUGAAUCAUAUGUUUCAGAUACAGAGGCUCUAUUAUACAAAGGGAUUGGGGAAGUAAGAAGGAUAUGUAGGAUUAAAGUAAGAUGGGUAAGGUGGAGAACUACAGCCGGAGUUCUAUGUAAUUUCAAAAUACCAAGUAAGUUGAAGAGGUAGUUUUAUAGGACCAGGAUUCAACUAACUAUGAGACAUGGUGGCAAAGUAUUGAGCUAGGAAAGAUCAGGUCACAAGAUUAGUUGGUUUGUCAAAAAAUGAGAAUAUUAAGAUGUGUGGAAAUACAAAGAGGGAUAGGAUAAGAAAUGCAUUUGUAGAAAGGUGGAAGUGACACCUAUUGAGAAAAAUUUGAGAGGGCAGAUUGAGAUGGUUCAGAUGUCUUUUUAGACCAACAAACGCUCUAGUAUGGAUUUUUGAGCUUUAAGUGAUAACAGAUAGAAAGUGAAGGGCAGACCUAGGAAGACAUAGGGAGUAGGAUUUAGUCUUAAAGUGAGUGCAACAGAAGAAACAGUUUCAUAUAUAGCUGAGCCCAAUAUUUUAAGACAAAGCCUAGUUUAGUUGUAUUCUUAAUUUUGCCUUCAGCUGAUUAGUGGCUACAUGCUAUUUUUCAGAUAUUCUUCUAUUCUUUCACUUGAUUAGUGGAUGAGCUAAAUAGGCAUGAGUUAUUGUAAAACUUGUCGGUGAAUUAACACCAAUGCCAUUUGGACACCUGACGUUGCUGGACAUAACAUUUUAAAUAACCUCAGGUUGAAACUGUUGAUGGAAUGAAAGAUCUUCAAAUUCCCUCUGGGAUUCAGCCUGGAGACACAGUAAAAUUAUCGCAGAUGGGAGUUCCAGACAUCAAUAAACCUUUUGUUCGAGGUGAUCAUCACUUUAUUGUGAAUGUUCUGAUCCCAAAAGAAAUCAGUGACAAGGAACGAGCACUCAU